rnacentral:rRNA from 1 species
UACUAUAGCUUGACACUGAACACUGGUCCUUGAUGUGUAGGAUAGGUGGGAGGCUUUGAAGCGUGGACGCCAGUCUGCGUGGAGCCGUCCUUGAAAUACCACCCUUUAAUGGCUGGUGUUCUAACGUGGACCCGUAAUCCGGGUUGCGGACAGUGUCUGGUGGGUAGUUUGACUGGGGCGGUCUCCUCCCAAAGAGUAACGGAGGAGCACGAAGGUUAGCUAAUCCUGGUCGGACAUCAGGAGGUUAGUGCAAUGGCAUAAGC